rnacentral:rRNA from 3 species
UAAGCUAGUAAGAUCCCUGAAAGAUGAUCAGGUUGAUAGGUUCGAGGUGGAAGCAUGGUGACAUGUGGAGCUGACGAAUACUAAUAGAUCGAGGACUUAACCAUAUAA